UACGUAGGGUGCAAGCGUUGUCCGGAAUUAUUGGGCGUAAAGAGCUCGUAGGCGGUUUGUCGCGUCUGCUGUGAAAACCCGAGGCUCAACCUCGGGCCUGCAGUGGGUACGGGCAGACUAGAGUGCGGUAGGGGAGAUUGGAAUUCCUGGUGUAGCGGUGGAAUGCGCAGAUACCAGGAGGAACACCAAUGGCGAAGGCAGAUCUCUGGGCCGUAACUGACGCUGAGGAGCGAAAGCAUGGGGAGCGAACAGG
rnacentral:rRNA from 1 species